rnacentral:rRNA from 1 species
UGAGGAAUUUUCUGCAAUGGGCGAAAGCCUGACAGAGCAAUACCGCGUGAGGGAUGACGGCCUUCGGGUUGUAAACCUCUUUUCUCAAGAAAGAAGAUCUGACGCUACUUGAGGAAUAAGCAUCGGCUAACCCUGUGCCAGCAGCCGCGGUAAUACAGAGGAUGCAAGUGUUAUUCGGAAUUAUUGGGCGUAAAGCGUCUGUAGGUGGACAAUUAAGUCUUUUGUCAAAUCUUUGGGCUUAACCUAAAGUGUGCAAAAGAAACUGUUUGUCUAGAGUCUGUUAGAGGUAAAGGGAAUUUCCAGUGGAGCGGUAAAAUGCGUAGAUAUUGGAAGGAACACCGAAGGCGAAAGCACUUUACUGGGUCAGUACUGACACUGAGAGACGAAAGCUAGGGGAGCAAACAG